rnacentral:rRNA from 1 species
CCUACGGGCGGCAGCAGUGAGGAAUAUUGGUCAAUGGCCGCAAGCCUGAACCAGCCAAGCCGCGUGAAGGAUGACUGCCCUACGGGUUGUAAACUUCUUUUAUAAGGGGCUAAAGUGAGGCCCGUGUGCCUUUUUGUAUGUCCUUUAUGAAUAAGGAUCGGCUAACUCCGUUCCAGCAGCCGCGGUAAUAUGGAGGAUCCGAGCGUUAUCCGGAUUUAUUGGGUUUAAAGGGAGCGUAGAUGGGUUGUUAAGUCAGUGGUGAAAGUUUGCGGCUCAACCGUAAAAUUGCAAUUGAUACUGGCAGCCUUGAGUGCAGUUGAGGUAGGCGGAAUGCGUGGUGUAGCGGUGAAAUGCUUAGAUAUCACGAAGAACCCCGAUUGCGAAGGCAGCCUACUAAACUGCCACUGACAUUGAUGCUCGAAAGCGUGGGUAUCAAACAGGAUUAGAUACCCGAGUAGUC